GUGCCAGCAGCCGCGGUAAUUCCAGCUCCAAUAGCGUAUAUUAAAGUUGUUGUGGUUAAAAAGCUCGUAGUUGAACCUUGGGCCUGGCUGGCCGGUCCGCCUCACCGCGUGCACUGGUCCGGCCGGGCCUUUCCCUCUGUGGAACCCCAUACCCUUCACUGGGCGUGGCGGGGAAACAGGACAUUUACUUUGAAAAAAUUAGAGUGCUCCAGGCAGGCCUAUGCUCGAAUACAUUAGCAUGGGAUAAUAAAAUAGGACGCGCGGUUCUAUUUUGUUGGUUUAUAGGACCGCCGUAAUGAUUAAUAGGGACAGUCGGGGGCAUCAGUAUUCAACUGUCAGAGGUGAAAUUCUUGGAUCAGUUGAAGACUAACUACUGCGAAAGCAUUUGCCAAGGAUGUUUUCAUUAAUCAGGAACGAAAGUUAGGGGAUCGAAGACGAUCAGAUACCGUCGUAGUCUUAACCAUAAACUAUGCCGACUAGGGAUCGGACGGUGUUAUUCAUGACCCGUUCGGCACCUUACGAGAAAUCAAAGUGCUUGGGCUCCAGGGGGAGUAUGGUCGCAAGGCUGAAACUUAAAGAAAUUGACGGAAGGGCACCACCAGGGGUGGAGCCUGCGGCUUAAUUUGACUCAACACGGGGAAACUCACCAGGUCCAGACACAAUAAGGAUUGACAGAUUGAGAGCUCUUUUCUUGAUUUUGUGGGUGGUGAUGCAUGGCCCGUUCUUAGCUUGGUGGGGGAUGACUUGUCUGCUUAAUUGCGAUAACCGAACGAGACCCUUUAACUUGCUGAAAUUAGCCCCGCAUUUGCUUCCGGCAGGAGCG
rnacentral:rRNA from 1 species